rnacentral:rRNA from 1 species
AACCAGCUCUUCAAGUGGUCGGGACUUUUAUUGGGCUUAAAGUGUCCGAAGCCGGUUAGGUAAGUUCCUGGUUAAAUCUGGCAGCUUAACUGUCAGUUGGCUAGGAAUACUGCCUUACUAGAGGGUGGGAAAGGUCUGGGGUACUCCAGGGGUAGCGGUGAAAUGCGAUAAUCCUUGGGGGACCACCAGUGGCGAAGGCGCCAGACUGGAACACGCCUGUCGGUGAGGGACGAAAGCCAGGGGAGCGAACGGGAUUAGAUACCCCGGUAGUCCUGGCUGUAAACGAUGCGUGCUAGGUGUUGGUAGGGCUAUGAGCCGUAUCAGUGCCGUAGGGAAACUGUUAAGCGCGCCGCCUGGGAAGUACGCUCGCAAGAGUGAAACUUAAAGGAAUUGGCGGGGAGCACCACAAGGGUGAAGCCUGCGGUUC